rnacentral:rRNA from 1 species
UGUUAAUACCGAAAUACGUUCCGAAAGUCGCAUGACUGUCGCAAGAAAGGAUGGCCUCUAUUUAUAAGCUAUCGCCGGAGGAGGGGUUUGCGUCUGAUUAGCUAGUUGGAGGGGUAACGGCCCACCAAGGCGACGAUCAGUAGCCGGUUUGAGAGGAUGACGGCCACAUUGGAACUGAGACACGGUCCAGACUCCUACGGGAGGCAGCAGUGGGGAAUCUUCCGCAAUGGGCGAAAGCCUGACGGAGCAACGCCGCGUGAGUGAAGACGGCCUUCGGGUUGCAAAGCUCUGUUAUACGGGACGAAUAAUCUUGUGGUUAAUACCCAUAAGAAGUGACGGUACCGUAAGAGAAAGCCACGGCUACU